rnacentral:tRNA from 1 species
GUGCCCAUAGCUCAGUUGGUUAGAGUAUCGGAUUGUGGUUCCGAGGGUCGUGGGUUCAAGCCCCAUUGGGCACC